rnacentral:tmRNA from 1 species
GGGGGCGCAACGGAUUCGACGGGAUUGUGACUGUUCUGGAAAGGCGUGCCGGGUUCCGAGCUCCCGUAAAACGAUCGGAAAACCAUAACUGCCAACGAUACGCAGUUUGCAUACGCUGCCUAAUUUUUAGGUAGCCGCUCGCCCUGCCGGGCUCGCACGGUAGGGGUCGGGUGUCAUCUCGCGGGAUAGGCCGAGAGCUUCUGUCCGGAGCAGCAGGCCGAGAUCAAUCGGGCUGGGUUGGGCGUCGUCUUGCCGCUUCUGAGGCGUCCGGCUGAGAUCUUUGAGGCGGCUACGCACGUAGGCUUUUCAGGGCAGGCUUUCUCGGACGCGGGUUCGACUCCCGCCGCCUCCACCA